AACUUUCAACAACGGAUCUCUUGGCUCUGGCAUCGAUGAAGAACGCAGCGAAAUGCGAUAAGUAAUGCGAAUUGCAGAUUUCAGUGAAUCAUCGAAUUUUUGAACGCACAUUGCACCCGGCGGCCAUUCCGCCGGGUCUGCCUGUUCGAGCGUCGUUUCU
rnacentral:rRNA from 1 species